CGGUUCGCUGCAGAAACGUCGCGAGAAGUCCACUGAACCUUAUCAUUUAAAGGAAGGAGAAGUCGUAACAAGGUUUCCGUAGGUGAACCUGCGGAAGGAUCAUUGUCGAAAUCGAACGUAAGAACGACCCGCGAACAGUCUUUGCGUAACGAACCGAGCUCGCGAGCACCUAACGCUCGCGCGUCUCGCGUCGCGUCGGCGCGGGCCUCCUCGAGAGGGCCGCGCCGCACCGACAAACUAACAAUGUCAGCACGGAUCGUGCCAAGGAGCUGUAUAGGCGAGAAUCGCCGUCCCACGCCCCCGGUCCCCCUCGACGGGGGGCGGGGGACAUGCGCGAUCUCUGCUCUUAGUCUUAAUGACUCUCGGCAACGGAUAUCUCGGCUCUUGCAUCGAUGAAGAACGUAGCGAAAUGCGAUACUUGGUGUGAAUUGCAGAAUCCCGCGAACCAUCAAUUCUUUGAACGCAAGUUGCGCCCGAAGCCAUUCGGCCGAGGGCACGCCUGCCUGGGUGUCGUGAAUCCCCUUGCCCCCGGGCACCCGCACGAGCAUCGUCGCGGAUAUGUCCGGGCGCAGAAUAUGGUCUCCCGUCGGGUCGGCGUGCGCGGCACGUCGCGGGGCGGUUGGCCGAAAAUCGAGCAUUGCGGCGUCGGGCCCCACGGCGUUCGGUGGAUCGAACGCGAUUGGCUGCGCCGUGGUCCCGUCAUAUGCCGCGGUCUCCGGGCUACGACGACUCCCGAGUGCGAUCCCAGGUCAGGCGGGGCUACCCGCUGAGUUUAAGCAUAUCAAUAAGC
rnacentral:rRNA from 1 species